rnacentral:rRNA from 1 species
AUGGUCGGCCCUUCGCCCAGCAAUCCGGACCACAUCAACUACAUGAUCUACCGUGUCCGUGCCGGCAUCAGCAAGCUUGAGGCGCUCCCCGCCCACCCCACCCGCUUGUUCGCCGACUGGUCACUUGCCCUCCUGCGCUGCCGCUGCCCGGACGACGGCAGGUUCUUGGUCGCCAAUCUCCGUUCGACUUACACCCGUGGGCAGUACGCCCUCGACCUGUUCGACUCCGGGUCAGGCACAUGGAGCACCAGGCCGAUGCGUGCUGAGUCGCCAGAGGACUGCUACUUCCGUACUCCAACCAAGGUGAUCGCCCUCGGUGGCGACCGCGGUUCAAUCGGCUGGGUCGGCCUCUGGCAUGGAAUCCUCAUCGGUGAUCUGCUCCCCAGCGGCGGGGACGAUGACGACGUCCUCCGCUUCAUCCCUUUGCCCAUGCUUUCGGCGCCCAACAAGAUGAUCCCAGGCCCUUUGUGCUGUGACCGGGACGUCUCCGUCGGCGGCGACGGUUGCAUCAAAUAUUCAGAGGUGUGGGCUCAUCCCGUGCCCGGCUCGCGUCGCGCCACCUACAUCUCCGAGGACUGGGGUGCCGCCAUACUGACAUGGCUGGAGCCCAAGAAGAAGUGGCACAUCGACCUCAGCCUCAAAGCCUCGGACAUCAUCUUGGACGACAGUCACUCCCGGUUGCUUCCUCGUCAUGAUGCCAAGGCCACAAUGGAGAGUCCAACUACCUUGAGCAGACUCCACACAGGGCAUCCUGCUCUCAGCUUGCAUGAUGAUGAUGUUGUUUACAUCACGGCCAAGGUUGACCACUUGGACGACGAUUUGUGGAUGCUUGCUCUUGACAUGAGGAACAAGACUCUGAAAGGAGUGGCUGCUCUCACCAGUAAAAGAACCUUGGGUUUUAGAUUCAUGUACUUGCAAAGUGACCUCUCCAACCAUCUGGUGCGCGCAAGCAGAACAACAGAGGUCUCCAACCAUUUGGUGGCCACAAGCAAAAGCAAAAGGUCCUCUCGCAGAAAGAAGAGUAAUGCUGCUAAAACUGGCAAGCAAGAAGCUGUGAAGACUCUUGCUAACAGCUGUCGUGUGGAUGCUGAUGCGACGACUUGGCGGGAAGGGAAACAUUUUCUGCGGGUUGCGGAACAAGAAGAACAGGAGCUGACGAUAAUCAAGCCUUUUCAAGGAUAA